rnacentral:rRNA from 1 species
GGAUUAGGCAUGCAAGUCGAACGAGGAUAUAUCCUUCGGGAUAUAAGCCGAGUGGCGCAAGGGUGAGUAAUGCAUAGAUUACCUGCCUCUGGAAGGGGGACAACGGCACCCGUAAGGGCUUUACCGAAAGGGCCGCUAAUACCCCGUAACGUCACUGGUUGCAUGACUGGUGACCAAAUGUGCCCACUUCGGUGGGUUUCGCCCAGAGAGGGGUCUGUGUCCCAUCAGCUAGUUGGUGAGGUAACGGCUCACCAAGGCAAAGACGGGUAGCUGGUCUGAGAGGAUGGUCAGCCACACUGGGACUGAGACACUGCCCAGACUCCUACGGGAGGCUGCAGUCGAGAAUCAUUCGCAAUGCCCGAAAGG